rnacentral:rRNA from 1 species
GUGCAGCAGUCGCGCAACCUCUGCAAUACGCGAAAGCGUGUCAGGGCUACCCCGAGUGCCGUCCGCUGAGGAUGGCUUUUCUCCGGUGUAGUAAGCCGGAGGAAUAAGGAGAGGGCAAGUCUGGUGUCAGCCGCCGCGGUAAUACCAGCUCUCCGAGUGGUAGGGACGAUUAUUGGGCCUAAAGCGUCCGUAGCCGGCCAAGCAAGUUUCCCGUUAAAUCCAGCGAUCCAAUCGUUGGACUGCGGGAAAUAGUGUUUGGUUAGGGGGCGAGAGGGCCAACGGUAUUCCCGGGGUAGGGGUGAAAUCCCAUAAUCCCGGGAGGACCACCAGUGGCGAAGGCUGUUGGCUAGAACGCGCUCGACGGUGAGGGACGAAAGCUGGGGGAGCGAACCGGAUUAGAUACCCGGGAGUCC